GAGAAGACCAAUACUAAUAAAGCUGGACGGGCCAAAUGUGAUGGAGAAUGCCUAGUCAAAUCAACUCUUCUCGAAGAAACUUUUGUUGGAAUUGUGCUUCUUAUCAUCUUGAUAUCAGGACUCAUGUGUAUGAUGGGAAUUGAUAAUCCCUCGAGGUUUGAAGCUCCCUAGGAAUCUUGAUUGCACUUUAACGCAGGAUAUGGGAGCUUAGCUUGGCGAGGCACAAGGAGUAUGAAGGACCGAUGUUUAUUGGUCUGCACUGUGGAUAUUUUUUGUUUCCUGUUCCAAACUGCAUUGUGUAUUUUACCGAGCCAACUGUUAUUUACAAUGUGCUCAAUUUUGGGUGUAAUAUUCUACGGAGAUCUAGCUGAUUAUUGCAAACAAAUACAUGUGUGAGGCUUGUGUUGUACCAAACAUACCAUUGCCUCCAGUGUUCUCUGUGAAUAACCUGAAAUUCAGGUAAC